rnacentral:lncRNA from 1 species
CCAACAGGGAACAAUUCAAGGCUGGAGAGAAAAGGCCACCUUUGACCCAGCAGAAGGCAGAGGCGGGAGAGGAGGGUGAGGAUGUACAAGGAGCAUCGCAGGCGAGGAAACAAUGGCCAGGACCUAACUGUGGUGGGAACUGCCUUUGUCUCCACACACUCGCAAUCAACAUGCGUAUUUGCUAUUCUCAAACAACUCCCUUCCACCCCCUUAGGCUGAAAGGACAAACUCAUCAGAGUUGAGGAGUACCUACCUGAUGAAGCUGUUCAUGCUUCCAGCAUCAAACUGGACGUUUACUGUCUGCCCAAAAGCCAGUUUCCAAAAGGCUGUCAGGAUGCAAGCUACCUACUCUUUUCUGGAUGGAUCGGGACAAAGUUUUUAAACAAAGACUGUGUCCUCUCCACAAGCC